UGUCGCUUCGACAGCAUGGGUCGACUGAACGUCGCUGGUGUAACUGGUGGAAAUUAAGACACUCAUACUGGACUUGCAUCAGGUACUGGUCAUCUCAACGACGUCACCAUAAAUGUAAUUGUCAUUUUCUUUAAUAUUUUACAAUGCCUAAUAUUGAACUGUUUGUGCUACAAUUGAAUCAAAUAAAACUCUUAAUGUAAA